rnacentral:rRNA from 1 species
ACAUGCGUUGGACUCCGAACUUUACGGUGAGGAGUGCUUUUAUUAGAUCAAAGCCAAUCGGGUCUUCGGAUUCGUUUAGUUGGUGACUCUGAAUAACUUUGCUGAUCGCACGGUCUUGCACCGGCGACGUAUCUUUCAAGUGUCUGCCUUAUCAACUGUCGAUGGUAGGUUAUGCGCCUACCAUGGUUGUAACGGGUAACGGGGAAUCAGGGUUCGAUUCCGGAGAGGGAGCCUGAGAAACGGCUACCACAUCCAAGGAAGGCAGCAGGCGCGCAAAUUACCCACUCCCGGCACGGGGAGGUAGUGACGAAAAAUAACGAUACGGAACUCAUACGAGGCUCCGUAAUCGGAAUGAGUACACUUUGAAUCCUUUAACGAGGAUCUAUUGGAGGGCAAGUCUGGUGCCAGCAGCCGCGGUAAUUCCAGCUCCAAUAGCGUAUAUUAAAGUUGUUGUGGUUAAAAAGCUCGUAGUUGGAUCUCGGUUUCGGGUGAAUGGUGCACCUUGCGGUGUUUACUAUUUAUUCGGACGAUUUUGUUGGUUCGUUCCUGGUUCUCUUAAUCGAGUGCCUUGAGUGGCCAACACGUUUACUUUGAAAAAAUUGGAGUGCUCAAAGCAGGCGCUACAGCCUGAACAUUAGUGCAUGGAAUAAUGGAAUAGGAUCUCGGUUCUAUUUCGUUGGCUUUCGGAGUCGAGGUAAUGAUUAAUAGGGACAGACGGGGGCAUUCGUACUGCGACGUUAGAGUGAAAUUCUUGGAUCGUCGCAAGACGAACUACUGCGAAAGCAUUUGCCAAGAAUGUUUUCAUUAAUCAAGAACGAAAGUUAGAGGUUCGAAGGCGAUCAGAUACCGCCCUAGUUCUAACCAUAAACGAUGUCGACCGGCAAUCUGCUCUCGUUAAAUUAAUGACUGAGCAGGCGGCCUGCUGGAAACAAGAGUAUUUGGAUUCCAGGGGGAGUAUGGUUGCAAAGCUGAAACUUAAAAGAAUUGACGGAAGGGCACCACCAGAGUGGAGCCUUCGGCUUAAUUUGACCCAACACGGGAAAUCUCACCAGGCCCGGACACCGGAAGGAUUGACAGAUUGAGAGCUCUUUCUUGAUUCGGUGGGUGGUGGUGCAUGGCCGUUCUUAGUUGGUGGAGCAUUUGUCUGUUAAUUCCGAUAACGAUCGAGACUCUGGCCUACUAAAUAGACGUCAAAUCUUUUAUAGGUUUGUCGUAUGCUUCUUAGAGGGACGGGCGGCGUUUAGCCGCACGAGAAUGAGCAAUAACAGGUCUGUGAUGCCCUUAGAUGUUCUGGGCCGCACGCGCGCUACACUGAAGAAAUCAGCGUGUGUUCCUCAUCCGAAAGGAUUGGGUAACCCGUUGAACCUUCUUCGUGAUGGGGAUUGGGGAUUGCAAUUAUUCCCCAUGAACGAGGAAUUCCCAGUAGGCGCGAGUCAUUAGCUUGCGUCGAUUACGUCCCUGCCCUUUGUACACACCGCCCGUCGCUACUACCGAUCGAGUGAUUUAGUGAGGACUCCGGACUGGUCUCUGAUGUAACUCUCGGGUUGUGUUGGUGUACUAGAAAGUUGUCCAAACUUGAUUACUUAGAGGAAGUAAAAGUCGUAACAAGGUU